GACUAAGAAGACAUACGCCUGCUGGAGACUCUGCGGUCAUAGUUCUGCUGAGAGGCAAGCGGGUGGGCAAGAUAUGUGGGGAAACCUCAAGGAAGAAGAAACGGACAUUGAUGGUGUGGGAUGGAAAUUGCCGCCAGUGGGGUAGACAGCAGACACAGAAGACUGAUAGAGGGGGAUCUAAAUCAAAGCAAACAGGGGCCAUUGGAUUAUUUCACGUGAGGGGAUCGAGAUGAUCCUGGUUGCAUGUGAGAAAGAUCGUUGUGGCAGCAGCAAAGAGUGUCAAUUGGGAAGCCAGGUAAGAAGCGGCAAGAGCCUGAGGGGUGAGAAGAAGGACUGGAGAAGGGGGCUCCAGUCCCAGACGAGGUGUAACUGGGCGGUGUGUAUGGGAGGGAGGGGAGCCCUCUACAGGGAACACAACAAAGCCACG